ACUCCGUGAAGCUGGAUUCGCUAGUAAUCGCGCAUCAGCCAUGGCGCGGUGAAUACGUUCCCGGGCCUUGUACACACCGCCGUCAAGCCAUGGGAGUCGGUAACACCCGAAGCCUGUAGUCUAACCGCAAGGGGGACNCAGUCGAAGGUGGGAUUGAUGACUGGGGUGAAGUCGUAACAAGGUACC
rnacentral:rRNA from 1 species